rnacentral:rRNA from 1 species
GACGAACGCUGGCGGCGUGCUUAACACAUGCAAGUCGAACGGUGAAGCGCCUUCCUUUUUGGUGGGUGUGGAUGAGUGGCGAACGGGUGAGUAACACGUGAGUAACCUGCCCCCUUCUUCUGGAUAACCGCAUGAAAGUGUGGCUAAUACGGGAUAUUCUGGGUCUGCCGCAUGAUGGGUCUGGGAAAGAUAUUGUUUCGGUGGGGGAUGGGCUCGCGGCCUAUCAGCUUGUUGGUGGGGUGAUGGCCUACCAAGGCGGUGACGGGUAGCCGGCCUGAGAGGGUGGACGGUCACACUGGGACUACGACACGGCCCAGACUCCUACGGGAGGCAGCAGUGGGGAAUAUUGCACAAUGGGCGCAAGCCUGAUGCAGCGACGCCGCGUGAGGGAUGGAGGCCUUCGGGUUGUGAACCUCUUUCGCCAGUGAAGCAGGCCUGCCUCGUUUGUGGGUGGGUUGACGGUAGCUGGAUAAGAAGCGCCGGCUAACUACGUG